UACGUAGGCAGCGAGCGUUGUUCGGAGUUACUGGGCGUAAAGGGUGUGUAGGCGGUUCUUUAAGUUUGGUGUGAAAUCUCCCGGCUCAACCGGGAGGGUGCGCCGAAUACUGAGGGACUCGAGUGCGGGAGAGGAAAGUGGAAUUCCUGGUGUAGCGGUGAAAUGCGUAGAUAUCAGGAGGAACACCGGUGGUGUAGACGGCUUUCUGGACCGUAACUGACGCUGAGACACGAAAAGCGUGGGUAGCAAACAGG
rnacentral:rRNA from 1 species